GAUGAAGAACGUAGCGAAAUGCGAUACGUAAUGUGAAUUGCAGAAUUCAGUGAAUCAUCGAAUCUUUGAACGCAUAUUGCGCUCUCUGGUAUUCCGGAGAGCAUGCUUGUUUGAGUAUCAGUAAACACCUCAACUUCCAUAUCUUUUUUGAAAUGGGAGUUGGACUUGAGUGAUCCCAACGCUUUUCCUCACCGAAAAGUGGCGGGUUACUUGAAAUGCAGGUGCAGCUGGACUUUUCUCUGAGCUAUAAGCAUAUCUAUUUAGUCUGCCUAAAAACAGAUUAUUACCUUUGCUGCAGCUAACAUAAAGGAGAUUAGUUCUUGUGCUGACUGAUGCAGGAUUCACAAAGACAGGCUUCGGCCGACUUUGUAAACUCGAUCUCAAAUCAAGUAAGACUAUCCGCUGAACUUAAGCAUAUCAAUAAGCGGAGGA
rnacentral:misc_RNA from 1 species